rnacentral:pre_miRNA from 1 species
GUGUGUGGAUGGUGUUCAGCACCAAGGACAGAUAUGUUUGAAUGUGUGUGGAUGGUGUUCAGCACCAAGGACAGGAAUAUUUGACU